rnacentral:rRNA from 1 species
UUUAACCCAACUCAAGCUGAAGAAACUUAUUCAAUGGUCACUGCUAACCGCUUUUGGUCCCAAAUCUUUGGUGUUGUUUUUUUUAAUAAACGUUGGCUACAUUUCUUUAUGCUAUUUGUACCCGUCACCGGUUUAUGGAUGAGUGCUAUUGGCGUAGUUGGCCUGGCUCUGAACCUACGUGCCUAUGACUUCGUUUCCCAGGAAAUCCGUGCAGCGAAAGAUCCUGCAUUUUAG